rnacentral:rRNA from 1 species
CCUACGGGAGGCAGCAGUGAGGAAUAUUGGUCAAUGGCCGCAGGGCUGAACCAGCCAAGUCGCGUGAGGGAUGACGGUCCUAUGGAUUGUAAACCUCUUUUGUCAGGGAGCAAAGGGCGCCACGUGUGGCGCUUUGCGAGUACCUGAAGAAAAAGCAUCGGCUAACUCCGUUCCAGCAGCCGCGGCAAUACGGAGGAUGCGAGCGUUAUCCGGAUUUAUUGGGUUUAAAGGGUGCGCAGGCGGAAUGUCAAGUCAGCGGUAAAAUUUCGGGGCUCAACCCCGUCGUGCCGUUGAAACUGGCGUUCUUGAGUGAGCGAGAAGUAUGCGGAAUGCGUGGUGUAGCGGUGAAAUGCAUAGAUAUCACGCAGAACUCCGAUUGCGAAGGCAGCAUACCGGCGCUCAACUGACGCUCAUGCACGAAAGCGUGGGUAUCGAACAGGAUUAGAUACCCCAGUAGUC